GCACAUCGUCAGUAUCGCAACGUGCGUGUAACAGCGAAAUUUACCAACAAACUGCACACAAUCCGCGCCGGACGGUAGUGGUAUGAUGCAAAUACCUAUUCCAGAUUACUCAUUACUGGCUGAUCAGGUCAGUCGAGUGUUUACCCCGAAGCUAGUCAGUUGUAGGUUUGAACUACGCUCCCUGUGUAGUAGUAGUCAAAAUCGCACACAUUCCCCGAAGUACAAAGUACGGCUAAUAAUGGCCUCCCGUGAAGACGAGAAAUACAUUCUGUACGGUGGACCAGAUCCGCUAGAAUUCCUGCAGGAUGGAUCGCUCGGGGAAAUGAUGCUGAAGGAAUUCCUCGUUAAACCAGAUAAUAUUGGAUUGAUUGAUCCCGUGACCGAGGUUCAACUCACCUACCGGCAAAUCCUGCAGCAAUCAAUUAAGGUUGCGGUUGCUUUGACGCGGUUGGGCAUACAGAAAACAGAUCGUGCCGCCAUCAUCAGUGACAACUGUUUAGAGUUCUGUAUCGCAGAGUUCGGUUCCAUAUUUGCAUCGAUUCCGGUCGCCCUAUUGAACCCUGCCUACGUGGAAGCUGAGCUUGAACACGCAAUCAAUCUAUCCAAACCGAAAGUUGUUUUCGUUUCCGCUAACGUUCUGGCUAAGAUAGCUGGGACGUUCAGGAAACUGAAACUCGCUGCGAGAAUGGUGGUUUUGGGUGAAGCCUCAAACAUAGCUAACUUCCCCGAGGCAAUUAGUUUCUCCAAACUGUUAGAGGAAACGAAUCCACCUAGCAACUUUAUGCCUGAACCUGUGGACGUUAAAUCUCAGGUGGCAGUGAUAGUGCUUUCCUCUGGAACAACCGGAUUGCCGAAAGGGGUUGAGCUGACUCAUUUAAAUAUUAUGACUACGGUUGCCCACGCAAAAGAAACUCGCAAAAUACUUGAUGAAAUUCCUGACCAGUUGAACACUUUGGCCGUAACUCCUUUGUUCCAUGCCAUGGCAGCAGUCAGUAUGAUCAACAUGGUCACUAACGAUUGCCGAUGCGUUGUUCUGACCAAAUUCGACAUUGUACUAUUUCUAGAAAGCAUUCAAAAGUAUAAGGUUAAUUUAAUGACGGUGGCGCCUCCGUUGUUGGUUUUUCUGGCCAAGCAUCCCAUUGUCGACAAUUAUGAUCUGUCUUCGCUGAUUACCUUGAUUUGUGGAGCAGCUCCUCUGAGCAAGGAAAUUGAAGACCGUGUACGGGAUCGAAUCGGAGUGGCUUUCAUUAGGCAGGGAUAUGGACUAAGCGAGACUACACUGGGAGUGCUAAUGCAAACUGGUUUCGAAAAUAAAGCGGGAUGUGUUGGACAAAUUCGGAUGGGCCAGUGGGUUAAGGUCAUUGACCCAGAAACGGGGAAAAUUCUGGGCCCGAAUCAACGGGGAGAAUUGUGCUUCAAGGGAUCACUCAUCAUGAAGGGAUAUGUGGACGAGGAAACGGUCAUUGAUGCAGAUGGUUGGCUGCACACCGGAGACAUUGGAUAUUAUGACGAUGAGCAUGAUUUUUUCAUCGUCGAUCGGAUCAAGGAGCUCAUCAAGUACAAAGGAUUUCAAGUUCCGCCGGCUGAAUUGGAAGCCAUUCUAAUUAAAAAUCCUAAGAUUAAGGAUGCUGCUGUGAUAGGGAUAGCAGACGAACGGGUCGGGGAGCUGGCGACCGCUUUUGUUGUUAAGGAAGAUGAUGUUGAGAUCACCGCCGAGGAAAUUGUGCAGUACAUGGCCAGUCAGGUAUCGCCUCAGAAACAGCUGCACGGUGGAGUGAGAUUCAUAGAUGAAGUCCCUCGAACAAUCAGCGGGAAAAUUUUGCGCAGAGAGUUGCGAGAAUUUAUUAAGAAUACUAAAUCGAAGCUGUAAUUGUUACAGGCAAUCAUAGCUGAAGGAAUAUAUUAUAUUAAACUGCUUUUCAGUUUAAUAUAUUUUGAAAGUAUUUUUUUACUUCAUAUCUGUGGAUAAUUGGAAAGUUACUAAUCUACCUGAUAUCACACAUUGAGACUUGUUUUAUACUUUAAACUUUUCGGAAGCAGCGUUAAAGGCGUUUAUGUGCACUAGCGGCUCGUUUAGGUAGUUACCUAAGACACUAGUGCUCAUAAAUGAUUUUGCUACACUUCCUGAAUGUGGUGCACUAGCGCGACUACCUGAAAAUUAAAGCUAUUCCAAUAAGUGUAUUAGGUUAUUCCAGGGAACGUUCAAAUUGGCUGUAAAGAAACUAAUGAGCGAUAAUGACUGCUACUCGUAUGCUUAUGUAGGACAAGCUAGUUAAUCAUAUUUUAUCAUCCUAUAUCUUCCUAGUCGGGAAUCGAACAAACGAUGACAAGCUUAUAAGAUCAGCGCCCUACCUGUUGUACUUUGUACCUCCAGGCUUCAACAUUCCGGUGCUGUCAUAUUUUCCGCUUCGAUUAAU